UGUAGAAAGGUGUAUUAAAAGCACGUGAAUUUUUGAUUUUCAAGGUUUAAGUUUAAUUCUUAGUUUUACAA
rnacentral:tRNA from 1 species